GUUUUGCUUUCGGCAUGACUGGCAUAAACAGGCAUUUUCUCUUUGGUUUCAGGCCGGCUGAGGCCUGGGCUGGCUGGGGCUGGGAGCCGGGGGACAGGCUGGAGACUACACUCUGAGCCUGGGGCUGCAGCCCCGGCCUGGGCCAGAGGGGAGUGGGCAGGGCCAGGGGCCCAGCUGAGAAGGUGGAGACCAGGCUUGAGGGGUGGGGCUGUCAGCCUGUGGGUGCCAGCCCUGGCCUGGCCGCACCUGUGUGGGAGCUGGGAAGAGCGGGGACCCUGGGGGCCAGACCCAGAGGGACAGGUUCCUCCAGGAUGAGGCCUGCUGAGCGGGCCGGUGGGCAACCUCAGCAAGGAUGCCUGGCAGCUGGGUCUCCCCGGCAAGCUAACCCGGGGGGCAGGGGGCAAGCUAACCUGGGGGGCAGGGGGCAGGGGCCAAGCUAACCCAGGGGCAGGGGCCAAGCUAACCCGGGGGGCAGGGGCCAAGCUAACCCAGGGGCAGGGGCCAAUCUAACCCGGGGGGCAGGGGACAAGCUAACCCGGGGGGCAGGGGACAAGCUAACCCAGGGGCAGGGGGCAAGCUAACCCAGGGGUAGGGGGCAAGGGGGAAGCUAACACAGGGGCAGGGGACAAGCUAACCCGGGGAGCAGGGAGUUAGCCAUUGGUGGGGUGCCAGAGUCCCUCGAGGCACCCUCCAGGGCCUUCUGUCUGACCCCUCUGGUCUGGGAGCCCCAGACAGAGCCCCAGGGAUCCUGGAGAGGACUUGCCAGCAGGCGUCUUGGGACCAUGGUUAGCAGUGUCUCUGGCGGAUGGUGGGGGGCUCAAUGCCAGAACAAACAGGAAGGGAGACCAGGGAGGCCAGACUCCUGGGGGUCAGGAUGGCACAGUACAGCAGAGGGCGUGCGUGAGUUACCAGGACAAGGGUGAUACCAGAGGGCCUGGGCAAGAGGGCAGCAGGUGCAGCCUGGGACUGGGAGUGGAGGGGUGGGUGGGAGGACCAGGGAUGGGGCCAGGUGCUGGAAAGCCUGGCCAGGGCCUGGAUUUGCCAGUGGCCCACGGGAUUCACGGAGGGCUCUAAGUGGAGAGAGGCAGACUCUGGCCCCACUGCUCUGGUCCCAUAUGGAGCAUGGCCAGAGGGGCUGGCUCUACAGGAGGCUGGACAGCAGCAGGGGCCAGGGCCUGGUGGAGUCCGUGGAUCUCCUCAACUAACUCAAUGUGAGGUGUGGUGGAGGGCAGUGGUGGACCGGCAGACGCAUGCUGGGUGAGGGGUCUGCAGGACAUCCUGGAGGAGUGAAGCUGGCCACAGCAGGUGCCAUUGGAAGUGUGUCCUCUUCAUUCUCAGAGCGUUUGUGGGACAGGUCCACACGGGCUGCCAUUGUGCAGAGGAAUUCCAAGGCAGACUCCAUGCCGAGGGUGCAACCACGCCAAGAUGACCUGGGCAAAGGUCUGCAGGGGAAGGGGUCUAGGCAGGGGCAACCCAACCUGGGACCACUGUGGCUGGGCAGGUGUCAUAGCGGUGGUGGUGAUGGGUAGUGUGGGUCAGGUGGCCUCAUGGGUCAUCAUGAGGGUGUUGCUUGUCACCAAGGAAAUAAGGUACCACUGCUGGACUAUGAACCGAGCUGUGCCACGAGGCCACGUGGGUGCUGCGUGGAGGUUGGGUUAGGGUUAGGGUUAGGUUAGGCUGGAGUGCAGUGUCUGUUCACAGGUGCCAUCGCAGCUCACUAUAACCUUGGACUCCUGGGCUCAAGUGAUCCUCCUGGCUCAGCCUCCUGGGUAGCUGGGAUUACAGGUUCGAGUCACUGCACAUGACGGGACAGACCUUUCUGAGGGCCACAAUUCACCCCAUGGCCUCAGGGUCCCAUGGUGUCUGUUGAACAAACGGCAUGGCCUAUGCAGCCCAGGCCAUCUGCCCCCCAUUACAGCUCUGACCUCAGCCCCCUACACAGGCCCUCCACCUCUUCCUGCUGCAGCUCCCACCAACCCAAACCCCCGACUUCCUGCUGUGGCUCAAACACUCCCAGACCACUCAUGUUUUAUCCCUGUGAGGAAGAACGCUCUUUCUGGAUGCUUCAUACUCCUUCCUCAGCUCCUUCCAGUCUCUGCCCCCACGCCAACUUCUCCAUGAGGCCUCAGCUCCGUCCAGUCUCUGCCCCCACGCCAACUUCUCCAUGAGGCCUGUCUUGCUUAAAAGAGCACCGAACACCUUUCGCUUUCUUCCCUCCAUGACGCUGAGCUUAUCUCUUGGCUGAAAGUCCAGCAUGUGGGUAGUGCCUGUCCAUGUGUUUGUAUACGUGGAUGAGUGGGUGGGUGGAUGGAGGAGUGAGUGGAUGGAUGGAUGAGUGGGUGAGUGAGAGUCAAGUGGGUAGAUGGACAGAUGAGUAGACAGAUGACUGGGGGUGGAUGGAGGGCGAGUGGAUAGAUGGAUGAGUGGGUGAGUGGGUAGAUGGAUAGAUGAAUAGAUGAAUAGAUAGAUGACUGGGUGGGUGGAUGGAGGGUGAGUGGAUGGAUGGAUGAGUGGGUGAGUGGGUAAGUGGGUAGAUGGACAGAUGAGUAGACAGAUGACUGGGGGGUGGAUGGAGGGCGAGUGGAUGGAUGGAUGAGUGGGUGAGUGAGAGUUAAGUGGGUAGAUGGACAGAUGAGUAGACAGAUGACUGGGGGGUGGAUGGAGGGCGAGUGGAUGGAUGGAUGAGUGGGUGAGCGGGUAAGUGGGUGAGUGGGUAGAUGGAUAGAUGGAUAGAUAGAUGAGUGGGUGGAUGGAUGGAGGGUGAGUGGAUGGAUGGAUGAGUGGGUGAGUGGGUGAGUGGGUAGAUGGAUAGAUGAAUAGAUGAAUAGAUAGAUGACUGGGUGGGUGGAUGGAGGGUGAGUGGAUGGAUGGAUGAGUGGGUGAGCGGGUAAGUGGGUGAAUGGGUAGAUGGAUAGAUGGAUAGAUGACUGGGUGGGUGGAUGGAGGGUGAGUGGUUGGAUGGAUGAGUGGGCGAGUGAGAGGUAAGUGGGUGAGUGGAUAGAUGGAUAGAUGAAUAGAUAGAUGACUGGGUGGGUGGAUGGAGGGUGAGUGGAUGGAUGGAUGAGUGGGUGAGUGGGUAAGUGGGUGAGUGGGUAGAUGGAUAGAUGAAUAGAUAGAUGAGUGGGUGGGUGGAUGGAGGGUGAGUGGAUGGAUGGAUGAGUGGGCGAGUGAGAGGUAAGUGGGUGAGUGGGUGGAUGGACAGAUGAAUAGAUAGAUGACUGGGUGAGUGGAUGGAGGGUGAGUGGAUGGAUGGAUGAGUGGGUGAGUGAGAGUUAAGUGGGUGGAUGGACAGGUGAGUAGAUAGAUGAGUGGGUGGGUGGAUGGAGGGUGCGUGGAUGGAUGGAUGAGUGGGUGAGUGAGUGGGUAAGUGGGUGAAUGGGUAGAUGGAUAGAUGACUGGGUGGGUGGAUGGGAGGGUGAGUGGAUGGAUGGAUGAGUGGGUGAGUUUGUGGGUAAGUGGGUGAGUGGGUGGAUGAUGAGUGGGCGAGUGGGUAGAUGGAUAGAUGAGUGGAUGGGUAGAUGGGAGGGUGAGUGGAUGGAUGGAUGAGUGCGUGAGUGAGUGGAUAAGUGGGUGAGUGGGUGGGUGGGAUGGAUGAAUAGGUGGAUGGAUGGGUGAGUGGAUGGGUGGGUGGGUGGACUGUUGGGUGGACGAAUAGAUGGGUGGAUGGAUGAGUGGGUGAGACUGGGUAAGUGGGUGAGUGGGUAGAUGGGAUGGAUGAAUAGAUGGAUGAAUGGGUGGAUGGGUGGAGGGGUAAGUAAAUGGAUGAAUGAGUGGGUGAGUGAGUAGUAGGUGGGGUGUUUGUGGAUGGGAUGGAUGAAUAGGUGGAUGGGUGGGUGAGUGGAUGGUUGGGUGGGUGGAUGAAUAGAUGGGUGAAUGGGUGCGUGGGUGAGUGAGUGGGUGAGUGGGUGGAAGAAUAGAUGGAUGAGUGGGUGGGUGGAUGGAGGGGUGAGUAAAUGGAUGGAUGAGUGGGUGAGUGAGUGGUAAGUGGGUGGAUGGGAUGGAUAAAUAGGUGAAUGGGUGGAUGGUGAGUGGAUGGUUUGGUGGGCAGAUGGACCAGUGGAUGGAUGAGUUGGUGAAUGAGUGGGUAAGUGGAUGGGUGGAGGGAUGGGUGGAUGGAUGGGUGGAGGGAUGGGUGGUUGGAUGGUUGGAUGGAUGGGUGGAGGGAUGGGUGGAUGGAUGGGUGGAGGGAUGGGUGGAUGGAUGGGUGGCUGGAUGGGUAGGGGAUGGGUGGAGGGAUGAGUGGAUGGAUGAGUGGAGGGAUGGGUGGAGGGAUGGUUGGAUGGAUGGGUGGAUGGAUGGGUGGAGGGAUGGGUGGAGGGAUGAGUGGAUGGAUGAGUGGAGGGAUGGGUGGAGGGAUGG
rnacentral:lncRNA from 1 species